rnacentral:rRNA from 1 species
GGAUAACUUACCCUUUAGGACUGGGAUAACUCUGGGAAACUGGGGAUAAUACUGGAUAUUAGGCUAUGCCUGGAAUGGUUUGCCUUUGAAAUGUUUUUUUCGCCUAAGGAUAGGUCUGCGGCUGAUUAGGUCGUUGGUGGGGUAAUGGCCCACCAAGCCGAUGAUCGGUACGGGUUGUGAGAGCAAGGGCCCGGAGAUGGAACCUGAGACAAGGUUCCAGACCCUACGGGGUGCAGCAGGCGCGAAACCUCCGCAAUGUACGAAAGUGCGACGGGGGGAUCCCAAGUGUUAUGCUUUUUUGUAUGACUUUUCAUUAGUGUAAAAAGCUUUUAGAAUAAGAGCUGGGCAAGACCGGUGCCAGCCGCCGCGGUAACACCGGCAGCUCGAGUGGUAGCUGUUUUUAUUGGGCCUAAAGCGUUCGUAGCCGGUUUGAUAAGUCUUUGGUGAAAGCUUGUAGCUUAACUAUAAGAAUUGCUGGAGAUACUAUUAGACUUGAAGUCGGGAGGGGUUAGAGGUACUACCGGGGUAGAGGUGAAAUCCUAUAAUCCUGGGAGGACCACCUGUGGCGAAGGCGUCUAACUGGAACGAUCUUGACGGUGAGUAACGAAAGCCAGGGGCGCGAACCGGAUUAGAUACCCGGGUAGUCCUGGCCGUAAACGAUGUGGACUUGGUGUUGGAAUGGCUUUGAGUUGUUCCGGUGCCGAAGGGAAGCUGUUAAGUCCACCGCCUGGGAAGUACGGUCGCAAGACUGAAACUUAA